rnacentral:rRNA from 1 species
GACGAACGCUGGCGGCGUGCUUAACACAUGCAAGUCGAACGGUGAACGAGGGAGCUUGCUCCCUCCGGAUCAGUGGCGAACGGGUGAGUAACACGUGAGCAAUCUGCCCCGAACUCUGGGAUAAGCGUUGGAAACGACGUCUAAUACCGGAUACGACGCGGGAGGGCAUCCUCUCCGCGUGGAAAGAACUUCGGUUCGGGAUGAGCUCGCGGCCUAUCAGCUUGUUGGUGAGGUAACGGCUCACCAAGUCGACGACGGGUAGCCGGCCUGAGAGGGUGACCGGCCACACUGGGACUGAGACACGGCCCAGACUCCUACGAGAGGCAGCAGUGGGGAAUAUUGCACAAUGGGCGCAAGCCUGAUGCAGCAACGCCGCGUGAGGGACGACGGCCUUCGGGUUGUAAACCUCUUUUAGCAGGGAAGAAGCGAAAGUGACGGUACCUGCAGAAAAAGCACCGGCUAACUACGUG